rnacentral:sRNA from 1 species
GGGGAGGUCAGGGCGGAAAGCGGGCGCGCGAAGUCCAUUCGGAGUUAAGGAAGGAAGCGCGCUCAGGAGGCCGCUCUGAGACGGUCGUCACGGCGGAAAGCGGACAGGCAGGGCUUUUUCAAAGGGAAGAAGGAGGCCUGUCCAGG